GAUGAACGCUGGCGGCGUGCCUAACACAUGCAAGUCGAGCGAAGAUUCGUCAAGCAGUAAUGCGGAGCGGAUUUUAGCGGCGGACGGGUGAGUAACACGUGAGCAAUCUGCCUUUUGCUGGGGAAUAACAUUGUGAAAACAGUGCUAAUACCGCAUGACAUCCGACCGGGGCAUCCCGGACGGAUCAAAGGAGAAAUCCGGCAGGAGAUGAGCUCGCGUCCGAUUAGCUAGUUGGUGAGGUAAAGGCCCACCAAGGCGACGAUCGGUAGCCGAACUGAGAGGUUGAUCGGCCACAUUGGGACUGAGACACGGCCCAGACUCCUACGGGUGGCAG
rnacentral:rRNA from 1 species